AGCAGAAAAUCAAACAGGUUUGCCCAAGCUCUCAGUGAUAGAGGUUCCUUCCUGCAGCUGCACCAGGGAGCAGUUCCAGUGCACACCACAGAAAAGCCACGGUAUUCCCGCAGUGGGACAUCCCUCAUCCACCUGUGCUCCAGCAGGAAUGUUUACUACUGGGCUAGGCACAGGAAAACCUCUCUUCAGCAGAAAUUCCCUAAUGCACAGCCUCUCCUGGGCAUCACUCAGGUGAACUUGACCACCAGAGGAAGAGUUUGCUCCAGGCUGCUGAAGAGCUGCCAUACUGUGCUUCCCAGAGAAGUGAGGGAUUUCUCUUUGCCAGCUCCCAGAAGUGAGGAGCAGCGAGGCUGUCAGUGUCCAGAGAGCUGGAAAUGA
rnacentral:lncRNA from 1 species